GACUAUGGCCAUGCCACCCUGAACACACCCAAUCCCGUCUGAUCUCGGAAACUAAGCAGGGUCAGGCCUGGUUAGUACUUGAGUGAGAGACCACCUAGGAAGACUGGGUGCUGUAGGCA
rnacentral:rRNA from 1 species